CCCCUCUCAGGAUGGCGCCUGGAGAGUUUCCAGUACUCCACCAGUCUUGGCUGCAGGAGGGAGAGUCAAGCAGAAGUAUACCCAUUCCAUUCCUAGCUUGGCCAAUGGCUAGUGAAUAGAAGGCAAUCUGCUACCAGU